rnacentral:misc_RNA from 1 species
GAUGAAGAACGUAGCGAAAUGCGAUAAGUAAUGUGAAUUGCAGAAUUCAGUGAAUCAUCGAAUCUUUGAACGCACAUUGCGCCCCUUGGUAUUCCGAGGGGCAUGCCUGUUCGAGCGUCAUUACACCACUCAAGCUUAGCUUGGUAUUGGGCAACCGCCCCCGCCAGUCGGGGACGCGCCUCAAACACCUCGGCGGAGCCUCACCGGCUUUGGGCGUAGUAGAAUUUCUAAUAACGUCCUUUAACGGAGAUGGUUCCUUUGCCGACAGAAGCCUUUAUUUUUCUAGGUUGACCUCGGAUCAGGUAGGGAUACCCGCUGAACUUAAGCAUAUCAAUAAGCGGAGGA